rnacentral:rRNA from 1 species
AUUGAACGCUGGCGGCAUGCCUUACACAUGCAAGUCGAACGGCAGCACGGGAGCAAUCCUGGUGGCGAGUGGCGAACGGGUGAGUAAUAUAUCGGAACGUGCCCAGUCGUGGGGAUAACGUAGCGAAAGCUACGCUAAUACCGCAUACGAUCUAAGGAUGAAAGCAGGGGACCGCAAGGCCUUGUGCUCCUGGAGCGGCCGAUAUCUGAUUAGCUAGUUGGUGAGGUAAAGGCUCACCAAGGCGACGAUCAGUAGCUGGUCUGAGAGGACGACCAGCCACACUGGAACUGAGACACGGUCCAGACUCCUACGGGAGGCAGCAGUGGGGAAUUUUGGACAAUGGGCGGCAAGCCUGAUCCAGCAAUGCCGCGUGAGUGAAGAAGGCCUC